GAAAUGACCUUUGGGCACUUGGCUGCACUGUGUACCAGAUGCUUUCAGGCACUUCUCCCUUUAAAGAUGCUAGUGAGUGGCUCAUUUUGCAAAUUAUUUUUCAGAAGAAGCUAGAGAUCUCAUUGACCAAUUAUUGAUGGCUUCAUUCUUCAAUGUAUAAGACCUCAGAUGGCUCCAAGGAAAUUAUCUGAGUGAGCUGCAAUUGUGCCUUGGCAUCUGUGCUUGCUUCACAAAUGUUGUUGUGGGCCAACUACUUAUUAAUAGUAUGAGAAUUGGAUGAUUCAGGUAUAUAAUCAUCAUUUUGGUGAAGAUGAUUGAUGACUUGAUGAAGCUGAAGAGAGCUGUGGAUGAAGUUAUUUUUACAGAAUUUGGAGAGCACAUUGAAUAUUAUUAUUUUUAUGAUUUUGUAUUGUCAUAUUGUAUUUAAAGGGGUUU